rnacentral:rRNA from 1 species
UACAGAGGGUGCAAGCGUUAAUCGGAAUUACUGGGCGUAAAGCGUGCGUAGACGGUCAUGUAAGUCGGGUGUGAAAGCCCCGGGCUCAACCUGGGAAUUGCAUUCGAGACUGCAUGGCUAGGGUGCGGAAGAGGGAAGCGGAAUUUCCGGUGUAGCGGUGAAAUGCGUAGAUAUCGGAAGGAACACCAGUGGCGAAAGGCGGCUUCCU